UCCUAAUACAGGGGGUGAUUCCUGAGAU
rnacentral:piRNA from 1 species